UACGUAGGGUGCGAGCGUUACUCGGAAUUACUGGGCGUAAAGCGUGCGCAGGCGGCUUGCCAAGUCAGAUGUGAAAGCCCCGGGCUCAACCCGGGAAUGGCGUUUGAAACUGGCAGGCUAGAGUUUGGCAGAGGGGGGUGGAAUUCCACGUGUAGCAGUGAAAUGCGUAGAGAUGUGGAGGAACACCGAUGGCGAAGGCAGCCCCCUGGGCCAAAACUGACGCUCAGGCACGAAAGCGUGGGGAGCAAACAGG
rnacentral:rRNA from 1 species